GCGGGCGUAGCUCAAUGGCAGAGCGAUAGCUUCCCAAGCUAUAUACGAGGGUCCGAUUCCCUUCGCCCGCUCCA
rnacentral:tRNA from 1 species